UGUCGCUGUCGCUCUUUAAUCAGCAUGAAUGUACAAAGUGAGGCUAGUGAGUGAGUGCAUUACGAAGUGGACGAUAACAAAAGUCAAAAAGUGAUAUCCCCAAACUCAAACAUAUUUGUCACAUUUAUCAGUAGUUCAGACAGGUGACACUGCAGGGGGGAUGGCUUGGGCACACGUCUGGCUCCUUACCUGCAGACCUGCAAACUUAACCAGGUGUCAAACUUACAGCAGUCUGUCCUGAAGAGACUGAUGAGAGCAGCACCACUGACUGUCGGGACUCUUGGAGCAUUCACAGGAUGAAGGAAAUAUCAAACCAGGCAGGCCAGUAAGACUUCGGGAGGAGACCAGAAGAUAGGAUGUGAGUCAAAGAUAUAGUACGAGUAAAGACCACGUGUUCUGCAUGGACUGCACGCAGCCUUGUCUUACAAUGUGUUGCAUAAAGAAACGGACUGAGUAGAGUCCUCACGAGGAAGAGGACUUCCACCAGAUCCGUUCCUGGUCCGGCUUCCAUCCGCUGCGGUCCA